rnacentral:lncRNA from 1 species
CGGACCGACGGUCAAGCCGGUUGUAAAUACCCUUCUUUCCAUGUUCUUCAGGGACACCAGCCCCAGCGACGACCUUGGACGAUUUCAACGCGCAGGCACCUCGAUCCCCCGAAUUCUUGGUGUGGCCGGUAUCACUGUUCCCCUGGUUUAACUAGCCUGUUUGGUAAGUAACUGAAUAUUUUUUACAGCGUGUUCAGAGCUUAUUUUCCAGUUUUUAUGAACAAACAUAUAAAUAUAUCUCUGCAUUCCUGACUCUCCCAUAAAAGCGGGCAUCUGUGGAAAGCAGGUUUAGUUAUCGGAGGGGAACCAUUAAACAGCAGUUUAAGAGGCAGAGCGGGAGGACGGCUCGUGGAUGUUUAGACUGCUGGCCUUAGUGAUCUUGAACGCAUUAUAACGGAAAAUGGAUCUCCAUUUGUAAGUCAGCGGGCCGCGCGGGGCACCAGGGCCGCGGCGCCCGCGUGGCGUGAGCAUCUUGAGGAAGCUGGAGAGAGGCUGGGGCGGGGAUGGACAGGGGCAGGAGCUGAAACAUCCUCAGGACUUGGUUGGGAGUCGCAAAGGGAGCCGGCUAUGCAGCUCAGGAUUCGGCCCGAAGGAGUUUGGUGUGGAAAAGGGUGUCAACCAGGACCCCACGCGGCCGUAAAUUAGAGGAAGCCCAAGGCAGGGUGCACAGAAGCGUGGGCCGGCCAGGGCGGCCUGGGACUCGCCACUGGGCCUGGCUGGGGUCACCCAGGGGAGACCUUUAACUCCACCUUGGAUAUUGUACUUUGGAAGCAGGCAGAGUCAGGCCCCAGGCCGCCAAGGGAGCCCCACCCCACAAAGGGAGCCCCACCCCAAGGACUCGGAAGGGACAGUCCAUUCCUUUCCCGCUGGGCGCUUUCGGCGGAGUCCGCGGUUGGGGAUGGAAAGCGAGGUCAGUGCUAAUGGCGGGGGGGGGGGGGGGGGGGGCGGGAGGGGUGGUGGGGGCGCCCACCUCCUGAGCUGCGGGGGAUGCAGGGCCGGCUCCCUCGGCCUUUGCAGCCCUGGGCAGCAGCGUGGAGAAAUACUGUUCAGAUAUUUCCGUGGCUGGGCGUUAGGACAGGGGAAGAUCCUCGGAGAGGGGCUAGGAAACCCAGUGUGGGAGUGAAGUGUCCGUUCGGGCCCUUUCCCUCCCCUCUGCAAGGGGUCAAUUUCCCUGGAUGCCCCCAGCAUAGCAUUUUAAGGCAGAGAGCAGGGGGUGGGGAGAAGCUGAAAUCAGAUUUGUUGGUAAAGUGCCACUUGGCGCAUGGAUCAAAAUAGCGAGCUAGAAGCCCUCGACCCCCCAACUUGGAUGGGUCUGAGAUUUUAGCACAAGCAGGGUGUUUUAAAGACCUUGUUCUUCAAGGAAAGAAUAUAGGUAGUGUGAUGGGGUUCUGUUUACAUUUUCACCAGGGAGGCAAACCCUGAAUGUGUAAAUACUGGUAGUUCAAUCCUCUGACAUGUGAUACUUUUUUUUUUUUUUAAGUCUGUUUAUAAGAACACAUCCAGGCCCUGGAAGCAGGUAGAAAAAGCAUGAUGGUGGCACCCAGGCUAGCAACAGAUAACUGCUCAGGGAAAGAAGUUGGUAGACUGCUUUCAGACCCAGAGGGAGUUUUGGGAACUGAAAGGAAGAAUGGCUGAGUUGGGGACUGGGAUGCCCUGUCCAUCAGAGGUGAGUGGCCUCAGUGUCGAAGCCAUCAGAAUUGGCCACUUUCAGCCUUCUCAUGCUCUUUUAAUUGAAACCAAAAAUGGGCAAAUCUCCUCAUGGCCCCAGAUAUCACGGCAAGUGAUAAAAGAGACGGAGAACACGGGACAGAAAAGAAAAAAAAAAAGUCGUAAAAGAUGCUAAUCUGAGCAUCAGUCCUCACUGACAGUGUCAUUAUCAGUUAAUUAAUGCUGUGCAACAGUCUGGGGCUUCAUGUAGCUCAGAGAGCCAGACCCAGAGACUACAUACAGUCUCAGAAAGGCAAUUUGUAGGCAGGGGACAAAUGGGUGAACUCCAGCGUCCUUAACUGUAGUUAUUAACUCGCAGAGACCAGACUGGCUGAGGGCCAUUCCCAAUUCACAACCAAACGAGUCCUCUUUUUUCUCAUAGAGUCCUCUUUUGUACCUUUUGCUGCGGGUCUAGUGGGGGUGCUGGGUUAGUCUGCUGCUUUGGAAAGCUGUGAGGCAGAUCCACCUCAAGUUCAAGUUUGCCCCCUCCCCCCCCCCAGUUUAGACGAUUAGACAGUCUUUGCUUUCUGGUGGUAGUGAGGGAGGGGGGAGAGUGAUGGAGGAGAACAGUGGGAAAAGAAAGGGAGGAGGGUGAAUUUCCCAGCUGAGAUGUCAGCCAGGGACUGCACUACUGUGCACGCUGCUGAGCUGUCCCCCUAAGGGCACAAGUUCCAGUACUCAAAGGGCGCAAGCAUCUGAGAUGCUGCAGGCUGUUGGCCACCCUGGGUGCCCGCAGGAGGAUUCCUAGUGAGGGUGUACUAACUUGCCUCUCCUUUUCUGAGGCCAUGGGCUGAGCUGCAACCAGUCUUACCCAGGUGGGCAGCCCCCCGUUUGGAGACAUGCUGUGAUUCCUUGUCCAGUCUCCACUGUAGCUGAUGGUCUACCCCUGUACCGCGCGAUACGUCCGCCUCCAGCUAAACAGACAGAACCGGGUUCAACAAUUUGUUUUGCGCCCCUGUCUCUUGGCUCUUUCCCUUCACUCCCACCCCUUCCUCUGGAAAAGACUCAAAGAGCCUGGGAGAAGCUGAGAACUAACUCCCUUGCAAACGUUUUGGUCUUGUGAGAUAUUCCUUUUAAAAUCAAUCUGCUUUAAACUAAAUAUUUUUUUUAAAAACUUCAGUCUGUUUUUAGGGAAAAUACAGAUCUCUCGGAGGUAUUUAUUAUUACAAAGGCAAGGGCAGUUUGUAUCUUAUGUUUUGCUCAUGAGAACUCAAAAUAAACUGGACCUGAAAAGAACCAGGCCAGAGGGCCAUAAACACACAUUUUAUGUUUACGGGAAUUAUGGCUCAAUUCCCUUCAUCGUUUUUCAAAUCUCGUUUUACCUUAUUUUCCUGACCAACAUAGUUGGAGCAAUGGGGCAUUCCUUUAAAUAUCUAUAACGCUCUUAUAUAAGGUGAACCCCAGAAAGUGCCGAGAACUCCAGAAAGAACACCAGACCCAGAAGAUGGCAGAAAAAGAAAUGUGUUCUCGGGGAAGUAACCUCAGCCUCACCUGUUCCAAGGAAGUUGUUUCUUAGGACACCCUGAUGGCUUUGCAUUUUGUCUGAAUAAGGGUGGGAUUGAGUCAUUUUAUAGGCUAGCCACUUGGUCUUAGAACCUUCAGGACAUGAAGAAUAAGGCAUACUGUCUGAGUGGCGGCAAAGGAUCUCCCAACUCGGGUUCCAUAGUCCCUCCCUUUCUGGUUUGCCUUUUGGGAAAUGGUUGUCUACAGACAUGGCAAGUGACAGUGACUCCAGAAAUGUGGGGGUGCUCAGAGGAUACUUCUACAAUGCAGGAUCACGUUCGAUUGGACUCUUAUAUCUGUUUCACAAGAAGUUGCCCAUGGCUCUUAUGAGAUUUUAUUUGUUCUGAGCACUUUCUUUUUGCAUUUUGGGGUGGGGUGGGGUAUUUGGGGAGUGAUUCCUCUCCCCUCUUCUUUCCAGAGCAGAUCUGUGGAGAUGGGGGGGGGAGGGGCUGAUUCAGCUGCAAUGGAGGAGGGGCUGAUUGCUUACGACUCCCUUCAGUCCAGUGUUUUUGUUUUUGUUUUUGUUUUCAGUCCAGUUUUGAUUAGGAAACAUUUAAGUCAGUGGAGAAAAUGGGACUUGUUUGAUGCCUCCCCUCCAUUUAGCCUUUCUUUCAUAUUCCCUUCUUCCCUGCCAGCCCUUUCCUCUUUCUCUCUCUCCCUCCUUCCCUCCUCCUCUCUACCCCCCCCCCCCACCCCUUCAAAUUUGCCUUUGAGCAGUGCUUGGAUUUCUGAGGUUUCUGAUCCCUUCAGGUCAUUGAACCUGAAACUGGUGAAGAAUAAGAUACUGGCUUCUCCUUUAGUCCUUUAAGAAAAAUAAGUAUUUUUGUAAAACACUGAGAUGUAAUUGACAAAUAACGCUGUGUAAGUCUAAGACGUACAAUGUGCAAGAAAAAUGUCACUGUCCAGUCUUACAGGUAGUGGGAAUUUGCAUUUUCUUCAAACGGUCCCUGACGAGAUCUUCAUAUUAACUGGCAGAUGGGCUGCUGCUGUGGGAGGUUUUCACUGAUACCUGGCCAGUUAUUCAAGUUAAAAUACUUAUUCCGACAAAAGGGAACAAAAGAGAAUGCACCUGAAAGGGCCUCCCUAGAGGCAGCAAGAUGUGUAUAUAGGAGGUGCUAUUGAUGUUGUUAUAAGAGGUAAGGUAGAUCUGAUCAUUGCUGCUUUCUAGUAAAGCAUAGAUAGUUUAGAGCACCAGUGGUGUGAGAAAAUACAUGCCACAGGAUUUCUCCUAACUGCUUUGUUUCAAGCAAAUUACAUACACACUGGCAAUAUUUUCUUCCAAGCUAGAAGGAAAGCACUCCACAUUCAGAUGACGAGGAAGCAAUUGUAUUGCAUCCACGGUCUAUGGGAAAAUAAGCAGUCGUUAACUUCAACUAGUCUGCAGGAGGGUUCAGAAUGAAAUACAAAAGCGAAUGGCAACUUAAAAUGUGGAGCUUUGGACAAGCCAUUUAAGUGAGCGAAGGUUUUGUCUGUGACUGGAGGCCCCAUGCAUUCCCAGUUGUAACUGCGGUGUAGCGAGAAUUCUUAGGAAGUCCUGUUCGGAAGCUUCCUUUGCAAAUUCAUGUCGUUUUUUUUUUUUUUUUGUUGUUGUUGUUGUUUGUUUGUUUUGUUUUGUUUUUAGCCCUGGCAGUUUCUUGCAACCCUUUUCUACUUUAUUCUAGGGCCUUUGCUUCUAGACAAGGGACUUGAGCCAGGAUGGUUAGGUUUCAGGUUAACAAAAAGAAACCCUUUUAUUGUCAAUAUUAAUGGCAAACCUCGAUUUUUACAAGGUUUAGGUUUAGCGGCACGAGCAGAUCAAAAGCAGCUUGGCUUGAUUUCUCAAUAUUCUCCGGAGCUUAGACAAUUAGCUGCAAUUUUGCGUCGAACGAAACAACACAAAAAUGUUAGUUACCAAAAUGUUAAAGUUAGUCUUUCGGCAAGGAUUUUACCUGUGCACAACGUGUCAGAAGCUAAUAAAUUCGUCCACUGAACCUGAGUUGAGUUUUGAAGGAAACGCCUUUAACAAAAUGUGUGAGCACACUGUCUUCAUUUGCAAUGCCACGGAGACCUGUUUCAGCUGUGUGCAUUCCACACUUGCCUUUCUGGCUGGGUAAGGAUCCGGCAGACUGAGGUCUCUCUGGUAAUUUGGGUACACCGAGUCUCCAGUUAAUGAUAGAUAAUCAGCCUUUGGGUCAUUCGGUCAUUCUCUUAUUACAAACCCCUCCUGCUCUCUCUGAUCUCCUUUCAAACUAAAUUUCACACAAACAAAUAAAGCAAGACAGGGACAAGUUCCUUAAAAAAAAAAAAAAGGAGGGAGAAAUAUUAGAAACUCCUGAUACAGAACUCUAAACAAGGAAAGGCAAGCUAAAAGAGGAUAGGAAAGAACAUCUUAUCAAAAUGAACAUGCUGUGUACAAAACAUUAGAAGAGAAGGCUCUGGUUUCUGUUAAAGUGACAGAAAAUUAAAAUAAAAAUAAUUGCAGGCAGAGAAGUUAUAAUAUAAACAGAGAAGGCAGGAUGCUUGCUGGAAAUGCGCAGCACGAGGAGGCUAAUUUGUUGUUACAGAUUAUAUAUCUGCACCCGUGAUAGGAGAGGCGCUACUUUGUUCUAUUUUCCAGAAAAGAAUGGCUUUCUUCUUAGUACUUGUGUGAGUGCUCACUUAACACAGGCCAAAACCUCGAGGAACAAAAAAUGGAAUUGCAUUCUGCUUGCGAAGCAUCCAACUUCAAAAGAAGGAAUUGGUUGCAUACAAAAAAAAAAAAAAAGCAUUCCAUUCAAAACACAUUUAGAGGGUUCACUAAAUUGGUAUGACUGAUGCUUUUUUGUUUUGCUGACAGAAGGUGCAGAUCAUUCUCGGGGAAGUCCAACCGAAACCAGCCCUCCCCUGCCCUCUGGAGUCUUCGUUUUCCAGCCUACAUCUGCUUGUGACUCCAGAAAGAGACUCCAGAUUGGCCAAGGUACAUCUCUGACCAGAUCCCUCUAGGAAAAGCUCAGGAAUGCGUGACUCUAAUUGUUCAGAACUCUGGUGAGAGUGUCCCUAGUGCCAUUUUGCUGCCCCUGUCUUUGACAAUCCCUUUUGGCCCAAGUCCAGGUCUCCGGAAGGGUCAAGGUCUAGCUGCUGGUGUCAAGCCCAAGCCCCAGCUUUUCAAUCCUAGGAGAGGUUGGAACUUUGGCUCAGGGCUUGAACAACUCACAGUUCUCCAAGUUAGAGGGGCAGUCCUGAAACAGCAGCAGGUGGUGAAAUUGUGACUCCGAGAUUGUCCCGGACUGAAGUCUGGCAUUCCUUGACUUGCUAGCAUAGCUAUCAAACAAUCCAUGUCUGUCCCAUUUUAAAGAAUCCACACUUCACUUUGUUUCUUCUAGGCCCAGUUUAAAUGCCACCUCCUCCAGGAAGCUUUUCCAGGUAUUGCUUUCC